AUGAACGCUGGCGGCGUGCCUCAUACAUGCAAGUCGAGCGAACGGACGAGAAGCUUGCUUCUCUGAUGUUAGCGGCGGACGGGUGAGUAACACGUGGAUAACCUACCUAUAAGACUGGGAUAACUUCGGGAAACCGGAGCUAAUACCGGAUAAUAUUUUGAACCGCAUGGUUCAAAAGUGAAAGGCGGUCUUGCUGUCACUUAUAGAUGGAUCCGCGCUGCAUUAGCUAGUUGGUAAGGUAACGGCUUACCAAGGCAACGAUGCAUAGCCGACCUGAGAGGGUGAUCGGCCACACUGGAACUGAGACACGGUCCAGACUCCUACGGGAGGCAGCAGUAGGGAAUCUUCCGCAAUGGGCGAAAGCCUGACGGAGCAACGCCGCGUGAGUGAUGAAGGUCUUCGGAUCGUAAAACUCUGUUAUUAGGGAAGAACAUAUGUGUAAGUAACUGUGCACAUCUUGACGGUACCUAAUCAGAAAGCCACGGCUAACUACGUG
rnacentral:rRNA from 1 species